CUCAUUCCUAAACCGUUCUGCAUAAAGCAUUGGCGUCACAAGUCAGAAGGGAAAGACUGGAUUCCACAGAUCGACGUGUUACUCUCACCAGGAAGGUGUAAGAUUGCCCAGCCCAUGUGUGUUGUUCAGCCUUGCUCUCUGCCCUACACAAACAGGACCUGGAGCCACGAAAUUGAGGCGAGCUGAUGAAACUCACCCCCAAAUCAAUUCUCACUGCUGCCGUUUCGGGUUGACCUGGGGUGUGAUGCACAGCGCCGGAGCUUCAUUUGGUGCUACUGGUCCUCCUCCAUGCUACCAACACAAACCACGAGCCCAAAAGGCAGCGCAUGAGCAGACAGGAACAAUGAAGCCACUUGUUCUCAGGAAGCAUUUGACCUCUGCCAACAGCCAACCGGAUCCAGACAAGGACCGGGGCAGCCGGAGCAGCUCAUGGCAGAGCGAAGGCAGAACUGUAUCGCCUGGCACCGAGCUGCUAUUUCCAGCACUUACAUCUCAUCCUCACGUCAGCUCCACUUCUUCAUCGCCCUUCAGAGCAAGAGGACCACGUGCUCCGAGUGACACCUUGGUCAACAAAGCAGGAUUAUUCCUCAGGCCUAACACACGAAGCACCCCACGCAUCUGCAGGAUCGAUGCUAUUGUUUCAGGCACCCCCACAACUGCCUCAUUUAUUCUUAGAAUUAGCUCUCAGCAUCGUUAAGAGGAAAGCAAAUAAAGCGAAGCAACACUUUGAAGACUUGUAAAAUGGAAAAAGAGAUUGUCUGUUAAAUUAAAUACCAUGGGAGGUCAUUCCCAUCCCAUCCGCAGCAAUAAUGUAACUGGCACUCCCCAAAACUUUGGCCUUAAAAUCACACCAGAACAGCACUUGGAAGAUAAGCACAAAGCAAACAUUUAAUGCUGUCCCCUGGAUGUCUGAGGCUUUUUCGCUUUCAUUUCUACAAAUUAUCAUCAGUGGUGCUUCUAAAUAUAAGCCAGGAAGGAAUCUGCAGUAAAAGGACAAGUUCCAGAAAGUUAGUGGAUGUAAGGGGACUGCCACUCAGUCUGCUGAUUGCAGAGCAUCACGUUCCUAAAGAGCAAAGUUUGGGCCGUGACCUUGUCGUGAACUCAGCGCCUUUCCUUUGCAGGGCAGGACGCAGCACGGAGGUGGGAAGCAGCUCUCUUUGAGAGGUCAGAUAGCAAAGCCCUGUGCAGAUGCCAGGCCAGGAGGGCUGCUGGUCCUCGGCCUCCGUUAGCUGUGUGCACAUCUCCUGGUGCUCCGCAGCCAGGUGCAGCCAGGCAGGCCUGCUCCGGGCGUCCCGAGGUCAGGCAGGCUGAGCGAGGUGCGCCUCUCUGCUCUCCAGCACUUCCCCUCCUGGGACUCGGUCCAGCAUUGAGCCACAUUGCAACCAAGUGUGAGGAUGGAUGCGCUGCCAGGAAGGGCUGGCUCAAAGACGAACUCCAGCGGGGAGGAACAGCAGGGAGGAAGGCAGCUCGCUUGCCUUCCCUGUUACUACUCAAAGACGGGCACGGAGGCAGUGCAAUGCUUCUCCUCCCUGCGCUGUAACCUCCACCAUUCUACAAAGACCAGAGAACUCUGUUUAGAACAAAGAACUCAAAACCGAUCUGAGCUGCCGCCGUCCCUCUCCAUCACAGGAACACCUCACCUCCAGAGAACUCCCUUGCUUCUCUUCCCGCCUCACCCUACGCUUACAUCCCUCAAAGAAACAACACCUUGGACACCAAACCAAUGUCAGUGGGGGCAUCCCACGUGCCUGGGCUCUGCCCACGGAAGGCCAAGCACAGCGGGAGGCUCACGCCUGCACUGCAGCACUUCAGAGCAAACAACGCCAUCUCCACAGCAGCGGGCCGGGCUGCGUGAGGCAGCUGUGCUUUCCAUUCAGGUGGAGGCAAAGCUGCUGAGGAUGGAAUUUAUCACAAAGAAAACAGUGGAAAAUAAACAAACGCACACCCUGAAUGUCCAUGAAACACCGAACAAACUUAUCACAGAGAGAAAAAUUAAUAUAUCCCUUGAGAAACAACUUUACACCGUCAUCGUCAGAUGGUUUUAAAGUAUAUAGAAUGAACCCUCCAUGUGAAUGCAAAUAGACAUACGCAGUUCACGUUUGGACAGUGCUCCCAGAGUGAAUGUUGGAUUUUCGGGCGGUUCUGUGUGGAGCCAGGAGUUCAACUUGAAUAUCCUUGUGGGUCCCUUCCAGCUCAGGAUAUCCUAUGAUUCAGUGUCUCAUUAACACCGAAGAUAGAGAAGAUAUGCAGAAAGCUUGCUAGUGGCAUACAGCACUUUGGUUACAGGAAAAGAAAUCCCAGAUCUAUGCCCCGUGCAAUUAGUGCAUUUGCUUAUUGCAAAUAACACUGCAGGCAGUUCAGGUGCAAUCACACCCCUCUCACUCAAGCAGGCAAUCUCCACUGCUCCCGUUAGGAACUCACCAGGCUGCUGCUGGAUGGGGCAGCAACCUCCGCAUGGCAUACAGCAACCUUUAAGAGGGAGGUGCAGAAUUUGCUGUGUAUGUGUCACUGACCUUCAUCCCGGGACCUCUCAACCCCCAGCAGAGGUGUCCUGCUAACAAAGGCAGAACCAACACUUCUCGCAGCUUGUCUCCGAUGUGAAACUCAGCACUGCUGUGAAUUAAAACUCAGCUCAGCUGCUCUGUGCACCUACAGAUGCAGAUGAGCAUGCAUAGCACUUCAGUGUUAACAGCCGGGCCGCUGAUAUUACACGCUGCAAGAAAAAAGACAGCCUUGCAGAAGAAAAAGCAUAGCUGCCUACUAUGCAAAUCCACUGGGUGAGUUUUUAUGGCUGCUUUCUACUGAUGCCUUUUGGGGAACCAAAGGGCAUUUUUCCAUUAAUCAUGUUUAUCAAUUGGGGGAGGAGGUGGGUCAAUGUAAGCACAUAUCAGAGCUUUUCUGUGAUUUAUUUACCAGGGAGAUCUGCCUACAAUUAACUGCCUACAAUCACUUUAUGUCCUAUGCAGCCAAGCAUUAAAGUAACACCCAUACUCUGCCUGCUUUGCGUAAGCCCAGUGGACUUACCGAGUUUCAUAUCAACGUGGUCAGAUUUCAGACUGGAGGAUGUCUUUUUCUUCAAGAGACCCUAACUCCAAUUUGAAGUCUGUUAUUGAAGGGGGUGAGAGGAACUCGUGUGUUGGAUACCUUUCUGUCAGACAGUGACACAGCAUCGCUGGUCUCAUGGCAAUCACAUCAAGAGAGGAAAUGGCCUUGGUUAUUCAGUUGCCACCACACACCAAGAGGAACAAUUCAAGGUUUCAUCACAGAAAAGCCUUCUUCCGGACAUGAUUGCUGGCAUUGCUUUACAACUCUUUGCUGUCAAGGGGGAGGUAAUUCCCACUAUUGGAGUUGCUUGACCUUUUGGGCUCAGUUCAUCUUGUUUGUUUCUCAAGGUGGAACGCCAACACAAAAGCUUUAACUUAUCCCUUCUCGUACCUACCUAAAAGCAUUCGCUUUUUAAGUCCAUUUACAACUAACACACGUGCUUCCUCCUGUGCUUUACAGCCUCGGUGGAAGCCAAGUUCCAAGGUAAAGUACGUUUGAAUAAGAGUCAUUACUACAGAUAAACCUGCUGAUCAGAUUCCCAGAAGUGAGAGGUGCGUUGAACACUGGCACACAGUUUUACAGCUGCCACACAUUGAUGAAAUACUUUCCAGUCUUUGAUGUUCAAAUGCAGACCUCACUCCACACAGCUGCUCCAGGCAGUGAGGCUCCACACAUGCAGGUAUGCCUUUCCCUCCUAGUGCUGAUCCCUUGAACCCAGACAUCCCCAUACUCAUAGACAAAAGCAUAAUUAUAAAGACAACAGAGCAAGUUACAGGCAAGCAGAUACCUAAACAAGACAGCUUGUUGGCUAGACUCCUGUGCUGAGCCCUACGCACUAUUUUCAAAGGCCAUUUAGUCUGACACAGAAAGCAGAGAGCAAGAGACUUUUCUGGAGGUAGCAAUGUCAGAUUAAACUAUCAGAGACGCUGGGACUAUAUCCAUCUACUGUAUCAGCUGUGGGCAGCUGAUGAGACCUCCAAUUGUAACAAGGCCCUUGUCUUAGCCAGCUUUAGAGAUGACAGCAGAUGCAGCCCAUCAGAUAAUCCCUGAAUCACCGUGCAAGGCGUGCGCCGUGCAGUGUUAAUAACCUCCUCUCAGUAGGUCGCCAGUGAAGCUCAUUACAGGAAGCUGGCUCUGUCCUUCAGCAGUGUGACAGGUGAUUCUCGAGGAAAGAAACUGUUCUCACUUCCUGUAG
rnacentral:lncRNA from 1 species